rnacentral:rRNA from 1 species
CCUACGGGUGGCUGCAGUGAGGAAUAUUGGUCAAUGGGCGGGAGCCUGAACCAGCCAAGUCGCGUGCGGGAAGACGGUCCUACGGAUUGUAAACCUCUUUUGCCGGGGAGCAAAGGGGUCCUUGCGAGUGCCCGAUGAGAGUACCCGGAGAAAAAGCAUCGGCUAACUCCGUGCCGGCACCCGCGGUAAUACGGAGGACGCGGGGGUUAUCCGGAUUUAUUGGGUUUAAGGGGUGCGUAGGCGGGCUGUUAAGUCAGCGGUAAAAUGUCGGGGCUAAAUCCCGGACUGCCGUUGAAACUGGCGGCCUAGAGUGUGCGAGAAGGAGGCGGAAUGCGUGGUGUAGCGGUGAAAUGCAUAGAGAUCACGCAGAACUCCGAUUGCGAAGGCAGCAUACCGGCGCCCUACUGACGCUGAGGCACGAAAGCGUGGGGAGCGAACAGGAUUAGAUACCCGGGUAGUC